UGUCCCAGUCGCCGUCCCCCCUUCCCUUGGUGGCUCUCGCAGCCGGCUCCGCUCCCGGCUCGGCCGCUCUUCGCGGGAGCGCUCUGACAGCACCUGCAGGACAGCGCGGGCACUCGGAGCCGGGAAGGGGAAUAAGGUUUCCAUAAUGAAUCUGCUGUGGACCCUACUGCUGAUCCAGAAAGGGCAUCAAAGAGUGAUCAGCAGGCUUAGGCUGGAGGGAACUGAAACUUUCCUUUUGCCGCAGAACAUUCAGGUGGGGUGUAAGACAACGAGAAAAUAUGGAAACUGCUGAGGAGUAAUCCAGACAAGACUUGCAUGUUUUCUGCUCCAUUCUUUGGGUCAAGAACACACUGGUUAAUAGCCAAUUAUUUCAUGCCCUAAGGAAAUUUUGGCAAAGAAGUUCCUGGGAAGAGUCAACUUGUUUUGGGAAAUGAGACUAAUAUUCACUUUCCAAAUUCUGAAGCCGUCUGAAAUUUUCCUGGACUGCCUAAACCAGAAUGUGCAGUUCCAGCUAAGAUAUCUAAAGAUCCUGCAAGAUUAUGUUAUCCAUUAUGUGACCUUCUUACUUGACAUUCCUUUGUCAUUGUUCUGAAUGCAGGCACAAAGAGCUGAGGAAGGCUGGGAUGCAGAGGAGGGGAGAGGCCAGGAUUGUCACCCAGAGCUGCCAGAGCAGGUGUGCCUGGCCAGGUCUGGGCUCCCACACUGCAGCCAAGAUUCUCUGGCCUUCAGUCAAUGCACUGAGUGAUUAAAUUAUUAUCCCAGUAAUGAGAUUUGACACAAUCUAUGCCAGUUACCUGUGUGACCUGCUAAGUAGGUUAAUUGGCAACCCUGAAUAAUUAUCCCCCACCUCAUCUUGCUGACUGAGAGUCUGACAAAUAAAUGAAACAUAAAAAUGCUGAAAAUGACACACCAUUUUUAAUUUCAACUGCUGAAUUGUUUCAAAGAAACCUUUUACUUAGUAGCUUAUUAAUAAAAUUGAAAAAAUACCUUGUGAACAUACUGGUUUUAUUAUUAUGUAGAUGUUUGCUCCUGUGUAUAAGCAAAGCUUCCUAGAGGAAAAUGAACUCUGAGACAUGUUAGAUGAGCAGGUCUCUCUAUUCUACAAAUUACUAAUAUAAGUCAGUUGUUGCAUCCUCAGAGGCUACUCAAAAGUGAGGAAAAUUCAAGAAGUCAAAGUGAAAUUUGUGGUGACAUUACAAUAAUUAUGUUUUAAUGCUUUUCUGUGAAAUCUUGAGAAUUAUAAAUUAAUUUUAUUGUUUAAUGAAAGCUAUGAUCUUUCUAUUUCCAUUUCCCAGGAAAGAGAGUUAAGAAAAAUAAAUAUGGUACCUGGUGAUGCUGACUUGUGUAUCUAAUCUUUUCUGCUUUGUUCAUUUCUGAAAAGCCAGGAUGCUAUUUCUUUCUGCCCUAGAAAAUGUAACAUUGGAGCUUAGAGAGGAAAAAGAAUGAACUCCUACAGAUGAGAAGAUGGGUUAAAAAUUUAAACUUGUGGUCUUUUCAUGAUAUAAUCAGCUCAAAUUAAUGGUUCAGAGCCAGGGAUUUAGUAAGACUGCUUCCAAAAAGAAUUCCUCUGCCCUGGCCAGAAAUCUCACCAAAACUUAGGGUAGAGAGAACAAUCAAAGAAUGAAUUUCUUGUUAUCAGCAGUUAAUGACUGCAGCAUAAAGUAUCUUCAGAGAGGCACUGUGGAGAGGGGAGCUGCUCUGCCCUGUCCUGGGGCACUCC